CCUACGGGGGGCAGCAGUGAGGAAUAUUGGUCAAUGGACGAGAGUCUGAACCAGCCAAGUAGCGUGAAGGAUGACUGCCCUAUGGGUUGUAAACUUCUUUUAUAUGGGAAUAAAAUGUUCCACGUGUGGGAUUUUGUAUGUACCAUAUGAAUAAGGAUCGGCUAACUCCGUGCCAGCAGCCGCGGUAAUACGGAGGAUCCGAGCGUUAUCCGGAUUUAUUGGGUUUAAAGGGAGCGUAGGUGGAUUGUUAAGUCAGUUGUGAAAGUUUGCGGCUCAACCGUAAAAUUGCAGUUGAAACUGGCAGUCGUGAGUACAGUAGAGGUGGGCGGAAGUCGUGGUGUAGCGGUGAAAUGCUUAGAUAUCACGAAGAACUCCGAUUGCGAAGGCAGCUCACUGGACUGCAACUGACACUGAGGCUCGAAAGUGUGGGUAUCAAACAGGAUUAGAUACCCCAGUAGUC
rnacentral:rRNA from 1 species